rnacentral:misc_RNA from 1 species
AAGGAUUUCUCAAUCAAAUGGAAAGAGCUGUGGCUGUUAAGGUCCUCAAACUUGGAACAAGGGGCGCUUCAAAAAGCUUCAUGGCCGAGUGCAAGGUGUUACGCACAGUGAGGCAUCGAAAUCUGGUUAAGCUGCUUACGUAUUGCUCCAGCAUUGAUUACAAACAGAAUGAGUUCAAAGCUCUAGUUUAUGAAUUCAUGGGUAAAGGAAGCUUGGAGAAGUGGUUGUAUCAAGACAUCCACAACAAUUAUCCGUCAAGAAACUUGGAUUUUCUUCAAAGAUUGAAUAUUGCAAUUGAUGUGGCAUCUGCGUUGCAUUAUGUUCAUGACCUUUGCGAAAUUCCAAUAAUUCAUUGUGACUUGAAGCCCAAUAAUGUUCUUCUCGAUGAGGACAUGGUUGCACAUUUAAGCGAUUUCGGUUUGGCUAAACUCUUCUUGAACACCAAUGAUGCUUCACAAACCCAAACUAGCUCAAUUGGAAUAAGGGGGACUAUUGGCUAUGCACCCCCAGAGUAUGGAAUGGGUAACACUGCAUCAAAAGAAGGGGAUGUGUAUAGUUUUGGGAUCCUUGUAUUAGAGAUGUUCUCAGGAAAAAAGCCAACGGACAAAAUAUUUGAAGGCCAUUUAAAUCUGCACAACUUUGUGGAGAAUGCACUGCCAGAAAGACUCGCGCAAAUCACAGAUCCAACCCUUCUCUCAAGAGAAAUGGGCGAAACAUCAACAAAAAAUGCUGAAAUGGACGAGCAGAUAGAAAUACAUGCAAAAGCAGAGUACAACAAUAAUGGGAACCUGAGCCAGACAAGUACUGGUAAAGAGAAAGAUUGCUUGCUUUCAGUAUUCAAAGUUGGAGUAGCCUGUUCAGCAAAAUCACCCAAAGACAGAAUGAGCAUGAGGGAUGUUGCUAAAGAACUGCAUUUGAUUAGAAGUACUUUUCUUGGAGUUCGGAUCUAUGGAUAAAGACAGCAUAUAUUGAAGAAGUGAGAUGGCCCUGGCAGAGAAUAGAUUUAAGCUUCUUGCGCGACUGUAUUUUCUAUGUAACAAAAAUUAAGCAUAGUAUAGUUAGGGCUUGCUUGGUACUACUUGUUAGAUUUUGCUUCUACUAAUAAAUUGAUGUGCUUUAAUUAUCAACAAGCAAAG